AGGGAGAGGGAGAGGGAGAGGGAGAGGGAGAGGGAGAGACCAAGCUACUGAUUUUGAGUCAAGACUCAGAUAUUCUAGGUUUCUAAACUCAGAUUUCUAGAAAGAUGAAAACUGAUGGGCUUCGAUCUUUAUUUCCUAGACAUUAGUCUAAUUAGGCCUGAGAAGCAUAGCAUAGCUCCCUGGGUUGCAACUCUAUUCCUAAGAUGUCCCAUUCCUUCUGACCUAUCCACCAGUAAUCACAAUAUCUUCUUUUGGCUCUCUUGUUAGUCAUAAUUUUGAGGAGAAUUGAGAUGUCUGUGUGUAGAGUUGAAGUCCAUUAUUAUUUGAAAACACUUAGUGGUUUUGAUUAAAAGCAAGCAAUUAACACUCCAUGUGUUUGUGGUAUCAGUAAACUUCAAGUGAGUGGCCCCAUCUUGGGUCAACAGCAGAACAUCGUCAGCAGGAACCAAGGUUUUCUUUUCCUUUUGUUCUACCUUGUAAAUUAGAGGCUGAUUUGUUUGUAAACAAGUAUUGCUUGAGACUAUAGCCUGAGCCUAGCUGCUGGGUCCAAAUAUUCCCUCCACAAGAGGGAAAAGAGCAGGAGCAAAGGGGAACUUUCUCCUUGAACACAGCUCUCAUGUUGGGAAGAAAAGACUCUGAAGUCCUAGGUACACUCUCUCCUUUUAUACCACCAGUGUCUUAAAUCCUUUACUGGACCAAUUAUUGGCAAAGGUAAAUUAGUCAAACCAAUGGCAAUUCAUUCGAUGGGCUGGGCAUGCUACAAGCAGAACUCAGGGAGGAUAAUGAGUGGCAGGGAGUAGUGAGCAAUGUGUUGAGUUUAGAUGAGUUUAGACAACAGCCCAGGACGCUCGUUCUAGUGCUGGGAUGAUGAAAACGAUCCCCUAGCAUGAAAGGGGAUCUGAGGAUCUGAGACUCCUGUUCAGUAGCUACUUGGAGGACAGAAAGUGUGUCAAAACCCAUGGUUUUCAUAAAAAAAAAAAAAAAAAAAAAAAAAAAAAAGCUCAGAGUCGUGUUAAAACCCGGAGAGCUUAGAUUUACAACAUGCAAAACCAACAUGCCUGCUCUAAGCACAAAGAUGCUCUUAAGCUGAGAGUGAGAGGUAGUCAGAUGUGAGCAGCAAACUCAAGUUUUUUUGUUUUUUGUUUUUUAAAUAGAGCAAGCUAACUUUUGUUUGCCUCUAUCCAGUGAUUUUUUAACCUUCUGGGUUUAAGGGCCUCAUUGAGAAUCUGAACAAAGUUGUGGAAUGCUUCCCAGAGAGGUGCAUUUGCAUAGCUGCACAAUGAUUUGAAUAUUAAUAACCUCUACUCUAGUGUUCUUGGCCCUAUUAGAAGAACUGAAGCAGCGUAACUAAUAACUAACGAUAGACAUCAUUAAUUGAGUCCUUUCCAGUCUCCUAGGCGCCACCAGAAUCUACUCACUGUUAGCAUCAAGGGCUCAAAACUACAUAGUUUUAUAAAGUCCUUUUAUUGUUGCUGAUGAAAUUAAUUAGAUCCUUCCUGACUUGUGAGUGAAGCAAGGGGUUUACGUUUAAAAAAAAAAUCAAAAUUCCGUGCUCACUGAGAAUCAGCAAACCCCUUCAACCUUCUGAGUCUUCCUUUAUGUCACCUGUAAUCUGAGGAGAGUAACUGUCCCCAAGACAGAGCAGAAACAAAGGAAACUGUACGCAGCCACAGCAGAGCACGUCCCCGCAUACAGCUUGCACUAUAAAUAUUUAACUUCACUGUAGGCAUGUAUAAGAGGUUGAUUUGUUUGCAGGAAGAAUCCUGUUCAAAUAGGAAAUGAUUACUUGGACUAAGAAAUUCAUGGCCAUAAUAUUUACGUUGCAUGUUAAAAAACAGAAAACAGCAAGGGCACAAGUGAACUGCAGAGUAUUCCAGCCACACAGGACUCAAACACAUUAGCCAAACAAAGCUCUUUAAUCCUCUGGUCUCAUCCUCUCUGGUGACCCCGAUUUUGGAAGGCCUUUGGAGGUUGCCUUUCCGAAAGCUUUAACACUUCCCUGCCAACAGAGUAGGUUCUUGUGAAUGUGGAAAGAGAUUCUUUCAAGUGACAGGAUUGUCCUGAAGAGGGAAGAAAGUAGAAAGCAACAAAGACACUUUUCUAGUGACGUCAAAACAACAACAACAACAACACCCCAAAAUUUGAUGAUAAUGUAAUAUAUAAUCUGGGGUAGAGUAGACAUUUAGAGAUUUACUCUGUUAGGGCCACAAAAAGAUAUCUUAUCAUAACUUGCAGUUUCUUAUCUUCUUCUUCCAGUUUUAGUUUUUACUGGUGCCUACUGUCAACCUAUACCCAUGCACAUCCUGUUUGCUCUGGGGUCACCCACCUCUCAACUGCUCUGUAAGGUAGGCUUUUCCUCUUGCACCAUCUAGCUCGAGGCCUCUAUGACUUGUCCCUAACUCACCCUGUUAGUGAGAGGCAGGAUGGAGUUGGAUACACCCCAAUACUUGCGUCCAACUACAACUCAAUACUUUUGCUCAACUCCAGCUUUUGAGGACAAAUGUGGAAUGUAGCAAUUGAAUAAAAGAUAGCAAAAGACUGGAUAAAAUCACUCUGGAAUUAGAGAAGAAAUAUAGACAGAGCAGGAGAAGUGGUCUAACUGUUGAGAUUUUCUGUCAUUUCUAAAGUCAACAUGUUUCUGACUUAGCCAAUGAUCUAACAAUCAAAAAACCUCCGUUGUGUGUAAGCAGCAUUAACGUCUGGGAUGCAGGUCCAGAUGAAGUAUCAGGCCAACAAAAUCUCAGUGAUAUUUAAUCAUCUUUGAGGCCAUGAUCAUUUCUUACAAAAGCCACACACAACUCAACGUGAGUGCUGAGCCCAAGAAUAGUUGUGAAAAUGGAACAUUUGUGAAGCACUGCCUGUGAGUCAGUCACCGCAGGCCUGACUUUCAUUUAUCUCUGGCCAGUGAUCCAUAGCUUUGUAAAAGAUCAUGGAAAUGAUCAUCAUUUACAUAUAAACACAGUGUUUUGUGGGAUUCAUUUUUAAAUGAUGGUAUGGGGA
rnacentral:lncRNA from 1 species